rnacentral:miRNA from 1 species
UUAUCAGACUUGUUACAAGGUUGUUCCAACAAGUCUGAUACAGUCAUGAUAUAACAAGAAUGUUACAAGGUUGACGACACAAGGUUGUAACAAUAUUGUUAUAUCAUGACUGUAUCGGACUUGUUGGAACAACCUUGCAACAAGUCUGAUAA